UGGGGAAUAUUGGACAAUGGGCGGAAGCCUGAUCCAGCAACGCCGCGUGAGGGAUGACGGCCUUCGGGUUGUAAACCUCUUUCAGUACCGACGAAGCUUCAUUCUUUUGGGUGGGGUGACGGUAGGUACAGAAGAAGCACCGGCCAACUACGUGCCAGCAGCCGCGGUAAUACGUAGGGUGCGAGCGUUGUCCGGAAUUAUUGGGCGUAAAGGGCUCGUAGGCGGUUUGUUGCGUCGGGAGUGAAAACAUCCAGCUUAACUGGGUGCUUGCUUUCGAUACGGGCAGACUUGAGGUAUGCAGGGGAGAAUGGAAUUCCUGGUGUAGCGGUGAAAUGCGCAGAUAUCAGGAGGAACACCGGUGGCGAAGGCGGUUCUCUGGGCAUUACCUGACGCUGAGGAGCGAAAGUGUGGGGAGCGAACAG
rnacentral:rRNA from 1 species